AACAGGACAAGAAGCUCACAGCUCAGAGAAGGUUUUCUUGCUUCAGCCUAAAUCAGUGAAAUAAGAAGUCUUAUCCACAAUGAAGAUCUACUUCUUGUCUCUUCUGUUGGUGGCGGUAGCCUGCUAUUUCCACGUCGAGGCAUUGCCAUCUCCCGAACCAGCAGACGUAGCCAAAGUGCCCUCGUCCGUGGCCGACCCAGCUUCAACGAAAAUUACCAUCGAUCCAAACCGAUGCUGCAACUGCUCUAGUGCUAAAAACAGGCUUGGAGUCUCAGUUCAUUGUACUAUCACCAUAAGCUUUCGCGCUGCCCCACAGCAGUGCUGCCCUUGCCCAGAUGUGGGUACCCCCAAGCCUUAGCGAGUUGAGAGUUAAGAGCGCGGGAAGAAGAAGAACGCUUUGCAGAAAGGGUCUUUGUUCUAUGGCUUUUGUGACGCUCGCUCUUGUAACUCAAUGAUUUUUAUGACGGAAGAACUUACGAAAUUCUUAUCCUGUAAGGUGUCCCGCUUUAUGCAUGUUGAAGCACCUAAAUCAUUUAGCUUGAAUUUGCCUCACUUUCUUCUAUGAAUUUCAAAGUAGAAAGUCACUAUACAUUUAUUUCUUGUAGUAUUACACAACAACAUUGAUAUAAGGAUGAAUUAAAAGGCUUUCGAUAUUAACCACCUGCACAGAUCAAGACCUCCUGAACACCAAUGAAGCGACCAAACGAUGGAUCCAGUUGUGGCACGACAAGAUAUGAUGAUUUGUACCAAAUUUUGGUUUUCCUUGUGCACUGUCAGUUCUCAUGCAAUAAAAGCAUCCUAUGCAA